rnacentral:rRNA from 1 species
GUGCUAGAACGAACGCUGGCGGCAUGGAUUAGGCAUGCAAGUCGAACGGGAGCAGCAAUGCUCCAGUGGCGCAAGGGUGAGGAACACGUGAACAACCUGCCUUCGAGUUGGGGAUAGCUUCUGGAAACGGGAGAUAAUACCGAAUAACAUCGUUUUUACCGCAUGGUGAAACGAUCAAAGCAGCAAUGCGCUUGAAGAGGGGUUCGCGUCCCAUUAGUUAGUUGGUGAGGUAACGGCCCACCAAGGCGAUGAUGGGUAGCUGGUCUGAGAGGACGAUCAGCCACAUUGGGACUGAGAUACUGCCCAGACUCCUACGGGAGGCUGCAGUCGAGAAUUUUGGGCAAUGGACGAAAGUCUGACCCAGCAAUGCCGCGUGCGGGAUGAAGGUCUUCGGAUUGUAAACCGCUGUCAAGAGGGACGAAAUUUGACGGUACCUCUGGAGGAAGCCACGGCUAACUACGUGCCAGCCGCGGC